rnacentral:misc_RNA from 1 species
AAUUCUCAACCCCUUCAGCUUUAGUGUCUGACUAGGUGGCUUGGAUUGUGGGGGUCUUGCCGGCUGCUUUGGCGGUCGGCUCCCCUGAAACGCAUUAGCGGAACCGUUUGCGAUCCGUCACUGGUGUGAUAAUUAUCAACGCCAACGACGAACGCUUUCUGUCUGUUCAGCUUCCAACUGUCCUCUCGGUAGGACAAACUCAUCUGAAC